UAGGGAAUCUUCGGCAAUGGGGGGAACCCUGACCGAGCAACGCCGCGUGAGUGAAGAAGGUUUUCGGAUCGUAAAGCUCUGUUGUUAAGGAAGAACGAGUGUGAGAAUGGAAAGUUCAUACUGUGACGGUACUUAACCAGAAAGGGACGGCUAACUACGUGCCAGCAGCCGCGGUAAUACGUAGGUCCCGAGCGUUGUCCGGAUUUAUUGGGCGUAAAGCGAGCGCAGGCGGUUAGAUAAGUCUGAAGUUAAAGGCAGUGGCUCAACCAUUGUAGGCUUUGGAAACUGUUUAACUUGAGUGCAGAAGGGGAGAGUGGAAUUCCAUGUGGAGCGGUGAAAUGCGUAGAUAUAUGGAGGAACACCGGUGGCGAAAGCGGCUCUCUGGUCUGUAACUGACGCUGAGGCUCGAAAGCGUGGGGAGCGAACAGG
rnacentral:rRNA from 1 species